ACGUAGGGGGCGAGCGUUGUUCGGAAUUACUGGGCGUAAAGAGCUCGUAGGCGGGCGAAUAAGUCUUGCAACAAAGACUGCAGCUCAACUGCAGGAAGUUGUGGGAUACUGUUUGUCUUGAGAACAGGAGAGGGGAGUGGAAUUCCUAGUGUAGCGGUGAAAUGCGUAGAUAUUAGGAGGAACACCAGUGGCGAAGGCGACUCUCUGGCCUGUUUCUGACGCUGAGGAGCGAAAGCUGGGGGAGCGAACGG
rnacentral:rRNA from 1 species